AUCCCAAGUAUGCAUUUUAUAUGGACAUAUGUUGGUAAUGGAGAUUUUAUCAGUUCCACUAACUGCACAUAGCUUUACUAACUAGAUUUUUUAAAAUAUUUCUCUGAAGCAUGUGCUUAACCUGCAAUGCAUAGGAUGGAUCAGAUUUUUGCAUGUGUAAAUUACUAAAAUAUACUAUUUCCCUGUAGAUUCAAAGUUAUUUAUUAGUCUCACAUUAAAAUAGCAUUACCGUUUUCCCAUCAAGUGCCAAUAAGAUGAAAACUAAUAUUUUAAUGGAAAAUAAAUGCACAUUAAAAAUCCAUACAAUAUGUGAAAAAAGACAGAAAUGGGAUGUCGUUCUGACAAACAAAAUAAUUUAACCAAGGAAAUUGUCAAGAAUUAAAUUUAUACAUUUCAGAAAAUGUUAGUUAAAAACCCAAAAAUAUUUUUUAAAAAUACACUGUCUCAUGUGUAUUGGAUUCAGGAGUAGAUGAGUCUUUUAUGGCCUAUUGAUAUAUUAGUAUCAAGUGAGAGAGGUGGAUUUUUUUAGUAUUCUUUGUUUGCACUCUGGCCUUCUUUUUCUGCCAUAUACAAAAGAUUCUCAUUGUCCUAGUCCUUUGUCAUAGUUAGCAAUAUGUUGCUUAAUAUUUAAAGUACAAUUACUUUCCCAUUUGGUUUACUUAUAAUUGACAUUCUUAUCUUUGUUUUCUGUCCAAUUAAUUUAUUUAAGAAAUAACUUACAAUUAAUUUACAUUCUGAAGCCUUCCUCCCUCUUUCUCGGCUGUGCCCAGAAGAAACUGGAUGUAGAGGAGAAUUUGAUCUGUCUCUUUCAGCAUAUUCUUAUCCAGAUGCCUGUAUUCAAAUUUCUUGUGAAUAGUAAUAUUUAAAUAUGAAGAGCUCUUAAUUGUAAUUAUUUCUGAUGCGUGCACACGCACUUACACCCAUUUAAGAUGCUCUUAAUGAUCAAAUAGAAUUCUGACCUUACCUAAUUUGCAUUUUACAGCGAUUGUUUUGUUUAGUAGCCUUCUUGUGGAGGAAUUUAAAGAGAAUCUGUAAUAUAUUCUGAUAAAAGGGAAGUCAAACACAUUUUAAAGUCAACAUUUCAUUAUUCUACACUAGCCCAUCUCCCUUUCAGAGAAUGAGUGCAUAAGCGAUCAGAACAGCUAGUUUAAGGUUAUGAAGUACAUAAUUUGUAUCUCCUUGAUGUUAGUGUAUUAAUAGGCCUCAUAGUAAAAUGGUCAAAAUCCUUUUUCUUUUUUUUUCCCCUGUAGCCUAUUGAAUCCUUGAUGCAGUCUUAUGAAUUUCCUUAAUGGUGGCAGAGCUGGAGGAUAUCUGUCUUUAAGAACUCAUGUUACUGUAGAUGCUGAUGUCAAAAAUUCUGUAAUGACUCUAUAACUACAGGUUCAAAUAUAAAUAUGGAGUUCUUAUUUAACUGUCAAAAUAUUUAUUAUUUUACAAGUCCUCUAUUUUCUUGAUCUUGUCAAAACACUUUGCAUCCACAGGCCUUUAUCAUUUAACAACUUGAAAAAAAUACCUUUUUUGUUAACUCUGCAUUGCACCUGAAAGAAUAUUUUCAAAACGGGAUUAAUGCUAAUAAACAUGAAGUACUUUGUGCAUGCUUGUCUACAUCUCAUAAGUGAUGUUAUGAAUCAUUAGGAAUGUUUUAUUUGCAGAUAAUGUGAUGAUUGCUUUUCACUUACCAUAUAGCACAAGCUAUCAAUACAAAUUAACAUUCUAGAAGCUUUGCUUGGCUGACAUCAGAUUUAAAAAGUGGAUUACUGUUGUUACUAUUGUAAUUUUAAAAGAAUCCUUAAGGGCUCUAAUUUUAAGAUACUUAAGCACUAGUCCAGUAUUAUAAUUUUGUAAUGGAUUUUUUUCCAGUGGCAUGAUCAUACUCAGAGCUGACAUGAGUUGCAGGUCACCAAAACAAGAAGUCAAUAUAUUUAUUAUAUACAUUCUAAAUAUUCUCAUAAGUAUUUGGAAAUCAUUGCAUCUAUAGUCAAGAACGUCUUAAGUUUGAUCCUAUUUCUUAUAAAUGUCCAUCUCCUGAUGUGUUGUAUUACUACUGGGUCCUUUUUAAGCUUUGGCUCAGUGGCACUACGUGUUUUUUUCCCUUUCAAGACUCAGGAAAUGUCAUCUUGAGAAAUUCUCCAUUGCACCAUAUUCUCUGUUUACUCUGCCUCCACUUGUAAGGUAAUGAUUCUCUGUAGCUCUCUUCCUUCUCCUAACAGGGAAAUUAUUUUUUUUCUUGAUCUCUGCCUAGUAGUUUUCUGUUGGGCACCUUUCAGAGCUGCCUGGAAAUCAUACCAGCUUUGCAAUUCCCACGAGUGCUUCUCCAAUAGUGGAGGAGUAAUGACCUGCCAGCCAACCACUUUCCUGUUCCUAAGGCUUGUGUUCACCCUUCAAGAUCUCUAGAAUAGCUGAGAAAUAUACAGAUUAAAAAAAUUGUGCAAGGGAUAGAAAAUGUCCAGAUUGUGGUUCCACCCAGUUUAACUCAGUUAUGUGUGGCUUCUGCCACUAGUGCCAUCUAUCCUCAACUCAGUCUGAAGGGAAUCCUUCCAUCUUUUUCAGGCUUUCUGACUUUUGGACUUAGCUCUACGAGUGUGCAAUCUGCCUCCAUUGCUCUCCUCAGGUCAGCCUGACUAAUUUAUAUAGCCUCUCCACUUUAGAUUCCCAGCUAAAAUUUCAGGUGAUUUUAUUCUUACGUUUGCCUGUACAUUUUUAUUUCCAUUUUCCAGCCCAUUUCCCCCUAGAAUUCAAAGUGUCUCCUUCCAGAAUUCUUACAAGUCAGUAUUAUCUCUGAACCUGACCAAUAGAUCUAUGAUACUGAUACUUCUGCAGAAUCUGCUGCCUGUAGAAGCCAUCAUCCAUGUUUCUUCUCUGGAGAAAGGGGGACAGUUUUUUCUUAAGAUGUUUUAUGGCCUCUAAGAAAGAGGGUGGCUUUUGUCCAGUGAAGGACUUGAUUCUCGCAGUCAGGAAGGUGAAAUUCUGGAUGGAACCCAUAGCAUUGAUUCGGGAGAUAUCAACAGGGGGCUAUGUGUUUUCCGUUAAUCUCAAGGUCUACUUCCCAUUUGUAGUAACGUCUUUGAGAUUGUCAUCAGCUCCCAGAGUAUUUCAGAUGUCAUAUAAUUUGGAUGAUGUACUGAUAUAUUUCCGCAACAAGGGAAAUGCCCUGUGACUCUCUUCAGACCACCAGAUUAAUUCAAUAACAUGAGUUUGCGACCAACUUGAUGUAGAGAUCUUGCCACCCCAGAAUCUAUUUCAGAAGAUCAAGUCUGAUUCUUCCUGUGUUCCAAGCUCAUUAAAUAUCAGCCCUCUAGUGUCUGCAACUUCUGGUGAUCUUCUGUGCAGAUGCAGUCCGUUGAGCCAUGAUAUAUCUUUGAGUUCUUUUGCACUUCAUCCUGGCAACUGAAACUAGCAACAUAGGAGUAUGAACAAGCUGAUUGGGCUAUCUUAUCCAUUUCAUAGCUCACUCAAGUGGCAUGUUUCCUUCCUUGUGCAUAACUGUAUAGGCAAGCCACUCCGCUACCGUGCUGAGACGAGAAAGCACUUAGUCCAGUGAUCCCAAGGAUAAACUCAUUUCAUUUCACCUUUUGAAGCUGAGAGUGCAGAGGGAUAUUGUCAAGUUUCUCCUUCCAAAAAUUGUGCCAUCUCCAAAAUAUCUCUAAAUAUAGAAAAAAGAGUGGUUUCACCCUCACUUAUUGCAACACGCAGGGAAGCAUUACUUGCAAAAAAAAAAAAAAUCCCAAAAAAUAAAACC